rnacentral:rRNA from 1 species
GAUGAACGCUGGCGGCGUGCCUAAUACAUGCAAGUCGGGCGAACAGAUAAGGAGCUUGCUCCUUUGACGUUAGCGGCGGACGGGUGAGUAACACGUGGGUAACCUACCUAUAAGACUGGGAUAACUUCGGGAAACCGGAGCUAAUACCGGAUAAUAUUUCGAACCGCAUGGUUCGAUAGUGAAAGAUGGUUUUGCUAUCACUUAUAGAUGGACCCGCGCCGUAUUAGCUAGUUGGUAAGGUAACGGCUUACCAAGGCGACGAUACGUAGCCGACCUGAGAGGGUGAUCGGCCACACUGGAACUGAGACACGGUCCAGACUCCUACGGGAGGCAGCAGUAGGGAAUCUUCCGCAAUGGGCGAAAGCCUGACGGAGCAACGCCGCGUGAGUGAUGAAGGUCUUCGGAUCGUAAAACUCUGUUAUUAGGGAAGAACAUACGUGUAAGUAACUGUGCACGUCUUGACGGUACCUAAUCAGAAAGCCACGGCUAACUACGUG